CGCCUGUUUUCAAAAACAUGCUUAUUUCUUGAAUUUAACUUUUAAGUGAAAAGGCUUAAAUGUUCUAGGGGGACGAUAAGACCCUAUAAAGCUUUACAGUGUGCUAAUUAAAUUAUAAAUUGUUAGUAUAAACUUGGUUUGGUUAGUAGCUGUUUCGUUGGGGCGACGAAAAUAUAAUUGAUAGUAACUGUUUUUCUUUUAUAAUAACAAUAAAUUUUUGGUAGAAAUUGAUCCUUUAUUAAAGAUUAAAAGAUUAAGUUACUUUAGGGAUAACAGCGUAAUCUUCUUUGAGAGUUCAUAUCGACAAGAAGGGUCGCGAUUGAUCUGAGU
rnacentral:rRNA from 1 species